AGAGAAAGUAUUCUGGGUGGACGUGAAGAAUUGAUACAUGCAGCACAACCCUAAACAAAAAGGAGAUUGGGAGUGUGGAUUUUUUGUGAUGCUAUAUAUGAAGCACAUUAUAGAAAGUUAUGACACUUCAAUGAGGAACCCUAAGGAGAUGUUUAAGUCGGGGAUGAACUAUGG